GGCCUGAUGGUCUAGGGGUAUGAUUCUCGCUUUGGGUGCGAGAGGUCCCGGGUUCAAAUCCAGUCAGGCCC
rnacentral:tRNA from 1 species